rnacentral:rRNA from 1 species
GUCUUUUUGAAUUUAAUAUAAAGUCUGAUCUGCCCCCUGAUUUUUUAAAUGGCCGCAGUAUAUUAACUGUGCAAAGGUAGCAUAAUCAUUAGUUUUUUAAUUGGAGACUUGUAUGAAUGAUUGGACGAGAUAUAAACUGUUUCAAGAAAAUAAAUAGAAUUUUAUUUUUUAGUUAAAAAGCUAAAAUUUUAUUAAAAGACGAGAAGACCCUAUAGAUCUUUAUAAUAAAAAAAUUAUUAGUUUAUAGGAUUUAUUUUGCAAUAUUUUUAUUAUUAUUUUAUUGGGGUGAUAUUGAAAUUUAACAAACUUUUGAUUAAAAGUUAUUCCAUUAAUUUAUGAAUAAAUGAUCCAUUUUUAGUGAUUAAAAAUUUAAGUUACCUUAGGGAUAACAGCGUAAUUAUUUUGGAGAGUUCUUAUCGAUAAAAUAGUUUGCGACCUCGAUGUUGGAUUAAGAUUAAUUCUAGGCGUAGCUGUUUAGUAUAUUAAGUCUGUUCGACUUUUAAUUUCUU